CCCUUCUUCCCGUAGGUGAUGUCCACCUCUUUGGGCUCCGGUUUCCUCUGUAGCUGAAUCAGAUGAACAAACAUUUUGUUAACAGCCAUUUCAAGUGGACACCGGAUCGACAACUACGAAGCCCCUGAUGCUUUUGGAUCAACAAGUUAAUUCACACAUUUCUGUGGACAGCAUUCAAAGGGGACACUGAACGCUGCAGGUUGGACAAACAGCUGAUACAAACGCCAAUAAAUAUGAUAUAAAACCUAAAUCCUUCGGAUCUUCACUCCUCACUCGAUGCACCAUUAAUUCAUUCAGCCAAAAGGUCUCUUUUUGAUCAAUUGACCGUGGUUUCAUUUAUCCGUCAGCUCUCUCAAACCAGUGGCAUACUUUAAUGCCAUUAUCACAGCAGUACCUGAAAAUAAUCUUGACAUGAUUGUGUGUUUCCAUGGCAACCAUGCCAACGUCUGUAGCCAGUUUUUCUCCCUGGUUCCUGUCUACAUAUAUAAUUACCACCACAGAUUACAGCACCAAGACUGCAGAAAUGAGUGGAGAAAACGGCUUCAGCCGCACACUGCGUCCAUAUGUGAUCUAACGGUGUGACACCUUAUACUUCUUGUGCUGAUGGGAAUUAAAAUAGAGCUACAUAAAGUGUAAAUUAGCAUAAAAUCAAAUAAUCUCUGGGUCUAUGAUAAAAGAAAUGCUGCCAUUAUUUAGGUGUAGCCUAUGUACAGUAUAUAUCAGAAUACGAUAAAUGUUUGCAAAUUAAAUUUGAAAUUGAUGUUGAAUGUAAUGCACUCUGUUUAACUCCGACAAUAUGUAUUAUACUAGAACAUACUAGAGCUGAAAGGAUUAGUGUUUUUGGAACUAAAACUAUCAGCAACUCAGUACUGUGUUUUGGGGUUUUGGACCAAUCCAAACAAUGAAUCCUGAAAAUAAAAUAAUUAAUCGAUUAGUCUUCUAUGAUAUUAAACUAAAUAUCUUUGAGUUUAGGACUCUUGGUCACACA